GUGCGGUCACAGUGGUGUAGUUAAAGUCGAACUCUAAAAGCAUCAGUACACAGCUGUGUUGUCCACACACAAGGAAAUUACACAAUCUGACUCUGAACGACUGAAAAUGUGCGAGAGGAACAGCACAGGAAUUGAUUCUGUGAGGAACAGAAGAUACAAAAGAGCUACAGUGUGUUUGGUGCUGCAGUGUGUUCUCCUGGUUGAGGCGAUCAUAUUGCUGGGUCUCGAACUCAGAACAAAGACUGAUGAGUAUGAAAACAGUGAGGAAAAAUACAUCCAAGAAAGGGACAAGCUACUUGUUGAGAUCCAAAGCUUGUUAAAAAAGAAAGAUAAAUUAGUAAAUAACAAUAACAACAUGACUAAACAAAAUGACCAGUUAAAUGAGGAGAAAAAACUACUAUCAAAACACCUUCGUCAAAUGGAUGGAUGGAAGUGCUAUCAAUCCGGUUUAUACUACAUUUCCUCUGACAUGAAAAACUGGGCUGACAGUAGAGAAGACUGUUCGAAAAGAGGAGCAGAUCUGAUCAUCAUAAACAACAGAGAGGAACAAGAGUCUUUUAAAAUUGAUACUGGUUUCUGGAUUGGUCUGAAUGAGAGUGCUGUGG